rnacentral:rRNA from 1 species
UACGUAGGGUGCAAGCGUUAAUCGGAAUUACUGGGCGUAAAGCGUGCGCAGGCGGUUUUGUAAGUCUGUCGUGAAAUCCCCGGGCUCAACCUGGGGAUGGCGAUGAAGACUGCAAGGCUAGAGUUUGGCAGAGGGGGGUAGAAUUCCACGUGUAGCAGUGAAAUGCGUAGAUAUGUGGAGGAACACCGAUGGCGAAGGCAGCCCCCCUGGGUCAAAACUGACGCUCAUGCACGAAAGCGUGGGGAGCAAACAGG